rnacentral:lncRNA from 1 species
CUCAUCCGAGUCUGCCCUUCUUGCCAAGCUGGGUAUCCGCCCUUUCUCAUAUGGUCUUCAGGUCAUCAAUGUCUAUGAGGAUGGGUCAGUCUUCAGCCCUGAGGUGCUUGACCUGACUGAGGAGGACCUCAUUGAGAAGUUUGCCACUGGUGUCUCCAUGGUUGCCUCUCUGUCCCUGGCGCUCUCGUACCCAACCCUUGCUGCCGCGCCCCACAUGUUCAUCAAUGGGUACAAGAAUGUGCUUGCUGUUGCUGUGGAGACAGACUACUCGUACCCGCAUGCUGACAAGAUCAAGGAGUACCUCAAGG